AUUGAACGCUGGCGGCAGGCCUAACACAUGCAAGUCGAGCGAGCGGCGGACGGGUGAGUAAUGUAUGGGAAACUGCCCGAUGGAGGGGGAUAACUACUGGAAACGGUAGCUAAUAACGCAUACCAUCGGAUGAACCCAGAUGGGAGUAGCUAGUAGGUGGGGUAAUUGCUCACCUAGGCGACGAUCCCUAGCUGGUCUGAGAGUAUGACCAGCCACACUGGGACGGAGACACGGUCCAGACUCCUACGGGAGGCAGCAGUGGGGAAUAUUGCACAAUGGGCGCAAGCCUGAUGCAGCCAUGCCGCGUGUAUGAAGAAGGCCUUAGGGUUGUAAAGCACUUUCAGCGAGGAGGCGUUACUCGCAGAAGAAGCACCGGCUAACUCCGUGCCAGCAGCCGCGGUAAUUC
rnacentral:rRNA from 1 species